AGAGUUUGAUCCUGGCUCAGGAUGAACGCUAGCUACAGGCUUAACACAUGCAAGUCGAGGGGCAGCAUGGUCUUAGCUUGCUAAGGCCGAUGGCGACCGGCGCACGGGUGAGUAACACGUAUCCAACCUGCCGUCUACUCUUGGACAGCCUUCUGAAAGGGAGAUUAAUACAAGAUGUUAUCAUGAGUAAGCAUUUUCACAUGAUUAAAGGUUUACCGGUGUAAGAUGGGGAUGCGUUCCAUUAGAUAGUAGGCGGGGUAACGGCCCACCUAGUCUUCGAUGGAUAGGGGUUCUGAGAGGAAGGUCCCCCACAUUGGAACUGAGACACGGUCCAAACUCCUACGGGAGGCAGCAGUGAGGAAUAUUGGUCAAUGGACGAGAGUCUGAACCAGCCAAGUAGCGUGAAGGAUGACUGCCCUAUGGGUUGUAAACUUCUUUUAUACGGGAAUAAAGUGAGCCACGUGUGGCUUUUUGUAUGUACCGUAUGAAUAAGGAUCGGCUAACUCCGUGCCAGCAGCCGCGGUAAUACGGAGGAUCCGAGCGUUAUCCGGAUUUAUUGGGUUUAAAGGGAGCGUAGGCGGGUUGUUAAGUCAGUUGUGAAAGUUUGCGGCUCAACCGUAAAAUUGCAGUUGAUACUGGCGACCUUGAGUGCAACAGAGGUAGGCGGAAUUCGUGGUGUAGCGGUGAAAUGCUUAGAUAUCACGAAGAACUCCGAUUGCGAAGGCAGCUUACUGGAUUGUAACUGACGCUGAUGCUCGAAAGUGUGGGUAUCAAACAGGAUUAGAUACCCUGGUAGUCCACACAGUAAACGAUGAAUACUCGCUGUUGGCGAUAUACAGUCAGCGGCCAAGCGAAAGCAUUAAGUAUUCCACCUGGGGAGUACGCCGGCAACGGUGAAACUCAAAGGAAUUGACGGGGGCCCGCACAAGCGGAGGAACAUGUGGUUUAAUUCGAUGAUACGCGAGGAACCUUACCCGGGCUUAAAUUGCAGAUGAAUUACGGUGAAAGCCGUAAGCCGCAAGGCAUCUGUGAAGGUGCUGCAUGGUUGUCGUCAGCUCGUGCCGUGAGGUGUCGGCUUAAGUGCCAUAACGAGCGCAACCCUUGUUGUCAGUUACUAACAGGUUACGCUGAGGACUCUGACAAGACUGCCAUCGUAAGAUGUGAGGAAGGUGGGGAUGACGUCAAAUCAGCACGGCCCUUACGUCCGGGGCUACACACGUGUUACAAUGGGGGGUACAGAGGGCUGCUACCACGCAAGUGGAUGCCAAUCCCAAAAACCUCUCUCAGUUCGGAUUGAAGUCUGCAACCCGACUUCAUGAAGCUGGAUUCGCUAGUAAUCGCGCAUCAGCCACGGCGCGGUGAAUACGUUCCCGGGCCUUGUACACACCGCCCGUCAAGCCAUGGGAGCCGGGGGUACCUGAAGUGCGUAACCGCGAGGAGCGCCCUAGGGUAAAACUGGUGACUGGGGCUAAGUCGUAACAAGGUAGCCGUACCGGAAGGUGCGGCUG
rnacentral:rRNA from 1 species